CACAGGGUUCUAGACAGGUCAUAGUCUGGUGGGAACACACACCCCUCUGCUGCAAGUUCAUGAUUUAUUUAGCUAAAAACACAGAACUUAGUGAGCAAAUAAAAUAAGGUGGCUGUUCAAGUAGGAGAAGAUAUAGCCUGUUUUUCUGUGGCUUUUCUUUUGCCCUUGGGUUUCCAACUAAGAGCACAGCCAAGUGAAUUCAGAUGAGAAAACUGUGGCUCCACGAUAAAGUAAAAGACCAAGAGUCACAUAGUUCGAAGGUGGAGCAGCCAGCGUCCAAAUCUAGUAUCAGCUCAAAGACUCCCCCUGUCUCUGGCCCACGGAUAUGGGGAAUGGACUAGAAUGUCCUGAAAGGUGCAACACUCUGCCUCAGUGAGGAGAGGAUCACAGACAAAAUAGGGAAAAGAGUCAAAAACACAAAGAAUGAAAUUUCAGGAGAGUCAAGGCAUUUCCUACAAGAUACAUGGUGAUGUUCUACUAUGCCAGAUUA